CGAGUCGACCGGGCGGCCGCGUCAACGCGGCUUUUCAGCCUCGUUGCCGAGGAACGUCCGGGCUCCAUAGGGCAGGGUGGUUGCUAACGGCAACCCGGGGCGACCCGCGGGACAGUGCCACAGAAAACAGACCGCCUCGCGGCUUCGGCCGCGCGGUAAGGGUGAAACGGUGGGGUAAGAGCCCACCAGCACCCCGGGUGACCGGGGUGGCUCGGUAAACCCCACCCGGAGCAAGGCCAAGAGGGUCACCGCCCCACGGCGGCGACCUGCGCAGGCGUUCGAGGGCUGCCCGCCCGAUGCCUGCGGGUAGGCCGCUAGAGCCUGCCGGCGACGGCAGGCCGAGAUGGAUGGCCGCCGGCCCGCCGCAAAGCGGGUCACAGAACCCGGCGUACAGGUCGACUCGUCCG
rnacentral:RNase_P_RNA from 1 species